rnacentral:rRNA from 1 species
UACGUAGGGACCAAGCGUUGUUCGGAUUUACUGGGCGUAAAGGGCGCGUAGGCGGCAAAUUAAGUCAUCUGUGAAAUCUCCGAGCUUAACUCGGAACGGUCAGGUGAUACUGAUCUGCUAGAGUGCGGAAGGGGCAAUCGGAAUUCUUGGUGUAGCGGUGAAAUGCGUAGAUAUCAAGAGGAACACCUGAGGUGAAGACGGGUUGCUGGGCCGACACUGACGCUGACAACGCGAAAGCCAGGGGAGCAAACGGG